UGAUCCUCAAGGUCAUCUGUCUACAUAGUUAUCCACUGACACACUGCUGCUCUGUAGUCCUCAGUCACCAGUGUACCAGGUGGCAAUGAGAUGUCCCCCAUGCUGUGCAUACAAUCCCUUCAGCACAGGAAUCUAAGUCUCUCUUUGGCUCAGUGGACCCAGACUCAACAUCAGCUCUUCCCUCUUGUCACCUCAUCAGGAUUCUACUAUGGAAAACAGGUGGCAUGUGCCCUCUGCUCUCAGAGCAAAGGCUGUGUGAAGAAAUGGCGAGAAGGUGGCCAUCUGCAACCCAAGGAGAGAGCCGUCACUACACACUGACCCUGCUGGUACCUGGAUCCUAAACAUCCAGUCUCCAGAGCUGUGCGAAAUAAAUUCCUGUUGGUUAAGCCACCC
rnacentral:lncRNA from 1 species